ensembl:lncRNA
AUGCAUCACAUAUUGACGAGAUGGAGAUGGACACAGCAGAUCUUUUUUUGCUUUAUGAUCACAGGAACUCGCUGCCUGGUCACGGUGGUCCAGCCUCCUGUGAUCACUGCUGCUCUGGGUGACAACGUCCCGAUGCCGUGUUUUCUCCAUCUCUCCCCCGAUGAGACAAUGGUGGGCCGGCCGGUUCUGUACUGGGAGCGGAACCAUUCCAGACUGUGGACCCCCUCUAAGAAAUACAAAGGGCGAGUCGACCUGGUGGACAAAAGUCGGAAUACUUCUAACAAGUCCGUGGUCUUGAAGGAUGUCCGGUGGGAAGACAGCGGGACGUACCUGUGCAAACUCUCCAUCACCACACAGAGCCGCAGGAGCUUCAGGAUGAGGGGAAACGCAACUUUGCUCAACGUUUAUGACAACAUGAUAUUUAACUCCACCGCUCACAAUGUCUCUCUGCUCCGCUGCGAGGUGAACGUGACCGACGACCCCAGAUUAGUUUUGUCCAUUUCUCAAAACGGAGACCGACUCCGAUCCAACGCCUCUGCUCGGGGAUACGCGGAAAGGGCCCCUCCCUUCGUCACCCUCAGCGAGACCGUCCCCCUGAGCAUCCAUGGAGAAUAUGUGUGUGAGCUGCGCCUGAACCGGGAUCUCAUAACCAAAAGUAUCUUCCACCAGCCUCCACCUGUUGAUGGCGACGCUUCAUCGGGGCGAGGUGCGUUUCCAGAGCCCUGGUUCCUGUACGUGUCUCUCCUCCUGGUGCCCAUCGUCAUCCUGCUGAGCCUCGUAGCUGCCCUGCUGGUGUGCAGAUGUUUGCCAACAUCUGGCUGAAAUGGAAAGACUCCGCCUGAGGCAUCUUCAUAGACGGGGAGAAUCGGGUCUGGUUAAAAAAGGGGAGCACUUAGAAUGUAAAUACUGUUUACUGAAUGUAUAACUUAUCCUGCUCCGUCAAGUAUUGACAUGGCGGCAUCUUAAUUCAGGGGCACAACCUGCCAAAGUGCAGUUGUCUCGAACCUGUACAGUUGGGUAAUAUCGUGCGAAAAAUGCAUUAAAGGAAGCAAUAUAAUGAUUUAUUUUAAAGUGGGUGUUUCCGGAUUAAAGAAAGCCACAAAACACUGUUCACGUAUUUAGGGAAAAUAACACGCAUUUUCCUAAUUACACGUCCACGAUGUACACUGUCUAUACUGCAGGCAGAGUAUCAACGGGCACAUUGCAUUUAUUCUGGACAGACCUGGUCGCACAGACAGACACACAGAACGGAUGCAUUUGUCAGAGCAAGGACAAGGAUGCAAUCAGCACAAUAAUCCUCACUGCUGGCAUGGUGACGUGGGCACACACACACACACACACACACACACACACACACACACACACACACGCACUGACUGGACUGAUUCCCCUCACUGAGUCAGAGAGCGAGUCAGUGCACCUGUAGUUAUGUCACACGUGCGCGUGCUCUUUUAUGUGUGUGAUAAUGACUAAGACAGAAAGCAGUGAAAAGAGGGUUGAAAACCUGUUGUUUGUCAGUUGAAGUGUCAGAUGGAAAAAACAGGGUGAGUAA